UGAGGAAUAUUGGUCAAUGGGCGAGAGCCUGAACCAGCCAAGUAGCGUGCAGGAUGACGGCCCUAUGGGUUGUAAACUGCUUUUAUGUGGGGAUAAAGUGCGUGACGUGUCAUGCAUUGCAGGUACCACAUGAAUAAGGACCGGCUAAUUCCGUGCCAGCAGCCGCGGUAAUACGGAAGGUCCGGGCGUUAUCCGGAUUUAUUGGGUUUAAAGGGAGCGUAGGCUGUCUAUUAAGCGUGUUGUGAAAUUUACCGGCUCAACCGGUGGCUUGCAGCGCGAACUAGUCGACUUGAGUAUGCAGGAAGUAGGCGGAAUUCAUGGUGUAGCGGUGAAAUGCUUAGAUAUCAUGACGAACUCCGAUUGCGCAGGCAGCUUACUGUAGCAUAACUGACGCUGAUGCUCGAAAGUGCGGGUAUCAAACAGG
rnacentral:rRNA from 1 species